CCAUAAAAACUGGUACAACACGAGAAACCCUAUCAAGGCAAGGGGGUGACGAGAGAGCAUCCAUCCUUAAUGGCUCCUCUUCAUUGGCUGCUUUCAGAAACAAGUGGUGAAGUAGUUUCAUGUUGUCAAUGGCAACGCACAAGUCCUUUUCAUCUGCUUGCCGCGCAUUUGUCACGAUAAGUCGCCCUAUUUGGCCCAGGUUCUGGAGCCGUUCAAUGAGGUUCCCAUGCCCCUCAAGACUUGAUUAUGAUGGCAUGCUGCAGCUUUGCAAUGCCAGAAGGAAGCUCCUCAAAUUUGGUUUCCUUGAUAUCCAAUGGUUCUAACCUGAAGUUUUCCAUUUGAUUCGUGAAGUUGCUCCAUUUGAGUUCCAGUCAAGCUCAAGAACCUUAAAUUGACCACCGAGUUUGGUAGUUUAUCAAUCUGCAGACUCUCUAGAUCCAACACCCUUCACUAUUUAAAUCCACGAAAGGCUUUACGGAAGAGAGGUUUAGAUGUCUUGUCUGCGGGAAACACAAAGAAAGAGUGGGUGUGUGAGAUGCUCUUGACAGAGUAUAUUUCACGGUCCUUGACUAGAACUGACAAUCGACGAGCUCCACUCUCCUGAAUUUCUUCUUCUGCAUAGAAAACACUGAAUAUUUCAAGACAUCAUCACAGCACAAAGUCAGAAGCAAUAAUUUAAGCAUUUAGCAAAAUUUCAAUUCGACAGGCGGAGGCUGUUUACUACCAUUUUGAAUCCAACACGUCUUGCCAAUGGAGAAGGUUCAACAGUGGGAACUCUUAUAUUCGACAAUGAGCUUGUCAGCCUGAGGAAUCAGUGAAGCAAAUAUCUUGAAUCGAAAAGACAAGCAAUCUAUUUACCAAUAAUCAAGAUUUUUCUACGCUUUACAUAGGACAACAAUUGUGUUUGAGAAUUUAGCUCACAUAAAGCAGCAGUUUCUGAGUUCCAGAAUUCAUAAUUGGUAACAAGCCUUUGCUUGCUAUUUGCCUUUUAAACCAGA